rnacentral:rRNA from 1 species
UACGUAGGGGGCAAGCGUUGUCCGGAAUUAUUGGGCGUAAAGCGCGCGCAGGCGGUCUCUUAAGUCUGAUGUGAAAGCCCACGGCUCAACCGUGGAGGGUCAUUGGAAACUGGGGGACUUGAGUGUAGGAGAGGAAAGUGGAAUUCCACGUGUAGCGGCGAAAUGCGUAGAUAUGUGGAGGAACACCAGUGGCGAAGGCGACUUUCUGGCCUACAACUGACGCUGAGGUGCGAAAGCGUGGGGAGCAAACAGG